AUUGAACGCUGGCGGCAUGCCUUACACAUGCAAGUCGAACGGCAGCACGGGUGCUUGCACCUGGUGGCGAGUGGCGAACGGGUGAGUAAUAUAUCGGAACGUACCUUAUUGUGGGGAAUAACGCAGCGAAAGCUGUGCUAAUACCGCAUAAUCCCUAAGGGGGAAAGCGGGGGACCUUAAGGCCUCGCGCAAUUAGAGCGGCCGAUACCUGAUUAGCUAGUUGGUGAGGUAAAGGCUCACCAAGGCAACGAUCAGUAGCUGGUCUGAGAGGACGAUCAGCCACACUGGGACUGAGACACGGCCCAGACUCCUACGGGAGGCAGCAGUGGGGAAUUUUGGACAAUGGGGGCAACCCUGAUCCAGCAAUGCCGCGUGGGUGAAGAAGGCCUCCGGGUUGUAAAGCUCUUUUGUCAGGGAAGAAACAGCAGCUCUAACACAGUUUGCGAAUGACGGUACCUGAAGAAUAAGCACCGGCUAACUACGUGCCAGCCGCCGCGGUAA
rnacentral:rRNA from 1 species